GACGAACGCUGGCGGCGUGCUUAACACAUGCAAGUCGAACGGAGAGGCCCUGCUCUUGUGGGGUGCUCGAGUGGCGAAAGGGUGAGUAUCACGUGAGUAACCUGUCCUUGACUUUGGGAUAACUUCAGUAAACUGGGGCUCAUAUCGGAUAGGAGCUCCUGCUGCAUGGUGGGGGUUGGAAAGUGUCGGCGGUUGGGGAUGGACUCGCGGCUUAUCAGCUUGUUGGUGGGGUAGUGGCUUACCAAGGCUUUGACGGGUAGCCGGCCUGAGAGGGUGACCGGCCACAUUGGGACUGAGAUACGGCCCAGACUCCUACGGGAGGCAGCAGUGGGAAAUAUUGCACAAUAGGCGGAAGCCUGAUGCAGCGACGCCGCGUGCGGAAUGACGGCCUUCGGGUUAUAAACCGCUUUCGCCUGUGACGAAGCGUGAGUGACGGUAAUGGGUAAGGAAGCACCGGCUAACUACGUG
rnacentral:rRNA from 1 species